rnacentral:lncRNA from 1 species
ACCUCACUUAGUAUGAGCAUCUCUAGUUGCAUCCAUGUUCUGCAAAUGGCAUUAUUUUAUUCUUUUUAAGGCUGAUACCACAUCUUCUUUAUCCGUUCCUCCGUUGAUGGGCAUCUAGGUUGCUUCCAUGUCUUGGCUAUUGUAAAUAGUGCCACAAUGAAUAUUGGGGUGCAUGUAUCUGUUCUACUUAUGGUUUUCUCCAGAUAGAUGCCCGGGAGUGAGAUUUGCUAGGUCAUAUGGUGUUUGUAUAUUUGGUUAUGUAAGCAACCUCAUUUUACACACAAUGCUGCUUUGGAGUACACAGGCGUGGUCCUGAGUUCUGGCUGCUCAAAGCACAAGAUGUGUGAUCUGGGCCUAGACCAAGAUUUUAGAGAUAAUUGAACACCAAAAAGAUGCUAAUGCAACUAAAGCAAAAAGUACACCAGAAAGUAUCAGAAGAUGGAGCAAGUUUCUGCUUUUUCCCAAGAUGAAAGCUACUUGAAUGAUUUUUUUAGAAUUUAUUUCCCCCAGACGUUGCUUGUGCCCCUGCUCUGCUGGUGUCCUUGGCUGGGAAGCCAGCACAGGGGAGUGCUGCCUCCUUCUCUAGAGGUUGUGUGUGUCAAAUAAUCAGGAGUAUGUUGUGAACCUCAUGCAAUGCCAGGCAUGCACACAAUCAUUUUUCUUUCUCAUCCCUGAUCCUUUUUUUCUCUCCAUAGACUUUUUAGAGACCAGUUUGAUGGGCCCCAGGGCAAUGUCUCUGGGCCUGGAACUGAGCUUGAUCAAAAGGUUGGAAGGCAAGCGCCAUGAUUGUAUACAUCAGUGCAUUCACAUGGGCUACUUUGAUUUUUUUUUCUCAAGCCAUUAGGAGUUAGCCACUGAAGAAGAUGACAAGUGGGAUGAGAUCUCCCAUCCCCUGUACAGUCUCAAAUGGGAAGAGUCAGGUGUGAGAAUACGAUAAAUAAAUUGCAUCUUUUAUAGGUGGUUUUGCUGGUUGCUCACUCCAAGCAUAUUUGCUUAGAUAAUAACAUCCAAAGCUCUUAGCUGAAACAGGGAAGGACCACCAACAGCAAGUUUACCGUCUCAAAGGUUCAGAGCUGAUCCUGAGGGUAUCCCAUUUCUUCUGAGCCCUGCAGAGGUUUAACAUCUAGUUUUGUCACUUCUGAAACAUUGGUUACCACCAGGAGGACUUUGACCUCCAUGCAUCUCUUCCCUGAGGAGCCAAAGACUAACUGCAAACAAGGACUUGUGUCCAACCCACCAUUUUCUCCUGUCGUUGUGUAGACCACCAAACCACAAGUAUGGCUUAGAAUGGAAUUAACCAGUUAAUCUUAUGUAAACCAUGCCACUUAAAUCUGAAUGACUUUUGCUAUGCUGUGUCUCAGGAGUUGUAGUUAUGACCCAGCUU